rnacentral:tRNA from 2 species
GGUCCCUUGGCCUAGUUGGUUAUGGCGUGGUGCUAAUAUUGUAUACAGGAUUUCCUGUGUAUAGGUUACGCCAAGGUCAGCAGUUCGAUCCUGCUAGGGACCA